rnacentral:rRNA from 1 species
AUGGUGGAGGUGCUCUCGCGGCUCUUGGCAGCAUGGAUCCGGCGGUUGGGGCUGCGGCUGGAGGUUCCUGGCUCUUCGGCGGCGCCGCCCCUGCUGCUAUUGUGGUUGUGGCAGAUGUGCUCGGGUUUCGGCCUGGCAACUCUGCUCGGUGAGAUGGGGUGGGGUGGCGGCCCCCCCUCCCUGCCUGGUGCUGCGGUGCUGGCCGGCUUGCUAGCCCAGCAUGGCUGGCGGCGUGGUGGAGGCUGCCGGGGCGGCGGCCCCGGAUUUGGUGGAAGCAGCUUCGGCUGGGGGGUGGUGCGCGCGUCUGGGCGUGGUGGGUCAUGGGAUCCCACGACCAGUGCGAGGUUGGCCUUGGCAGGAUGGGGUUUGUUGGUUGCGUUGAUGUGGGCAGGUGGUGGUUGA